CAUCAAACCAGGAACACGAGCGGCUCGGAGGCCAGCCAGCCACCAUCCAUCCAUCCGUCCAUCCGGGGCCUGGGGACCGGGAAAUAAACCGACACUCUUUAGUCCUGGCGUUACCGGCGGCGGUGUUGAUACGCACCUGGCGCCCCGCACAGCUGGAUUGAUUGUAAAGUUGAAUACGCGCCGUAACCUUGCUUGGGGUGCGACGAGCCCACUACCAGAGGUUCAUCGCAUGCCUCGCAUUCACGCUCCGGCGAUUGAAUCGACGAUUCGCGAGAUGGCUUCGAAUUUUUCAAUUCGCCCCCCUUUUGUGGACCAAUCGCCGCUCGGAGGAGAAAUUUUCAACGCUGUACAAAAGGUGAAAACACGAUGACGGUUGAACUAAACGCGACCAAGAUGAAUGAUACCAAAUCCGUGGAAAAUCUGACUGGUCAUUCUACGAUCUGGAGGAAAAGAUUGAUGAUGAUGAUGAUGAUUGGAGUUGAAAACAACCGUGUGGAUCAGUAUUCGAUGGUCACUCGGGGUGACAUAAGCAAUGUCAGUGAGAAUUUCGCAUGAAUGAAGGGCGCGACGGACGGUUCCCAUAUACCUACUGAGAGAGAGAGAGAGAGAGGGGGAUCGAUGCGAGGGUGUGCCCCGUUGUUCUCCAUACCGUUUGACAAACACACAACAGUAAUGGGAGGGAGUGAUAGAGAAAGAUAGAUAGAUAGAGAGAGAGCGAGAGAUUUAGGUAUACGUGACGUGGCUCCAACUCCACGUGGUCGCUCGGUGACGUCACAGGGCCACGCAGGGCAAAAACUAGCCCAUUCACUUCGCUCAGCACUUAUGUGUCGCACCCUUUUCCUCCGUCAGAAGCCUACCAUGAUCCCUCAUAUAGAAAUCUCUGCAAGAGGAGGAAUUGUGGCACAUCGAGAUCAAAGGUCUCGUGGUAUCAGUGAUCUUCCAAUGUCACAUUCGCCUUAUUUUAUACUCCUUCGAAUUUCCGUUUUCCAGUUCGGCCGUGACUAGGAAGAUAUGCCUUAUGGAGAUGAAGACCGAUCGUCACCGUAAAACUAGUGCUCUGCAAGCUGAAGGAAUCUGAGAGUCAAAGAUGAAUAGAAUUGUAUUGGGAAGGAGAAAAUAAGUAAGAUAAUGGUCUUGAAGUUUUACGAAGAGGAAGAAGACUUCAGAGGAAGAAUUGGACGAGUGGGCCACCGAGUGAGUCUGUGCUCCUUGCGUUCACUGCGGGCUUCCAUGUGCCAAAAUUUCAAAAUUCAUAAGGCACGCGGUGAAUGCCAAGAGCGGACAUAAUUCAGCACUGCGUCGUUGUGCCGGCAAAACAUCGAACGAGCGUUGAACCCCCGUAUGUGAUAUGAAAAAACCUAAAACGAUAUUAUUAUCAUUACACAAUAGCUGAGUUAUCACUGUAAAAUUAAUCAUUUUUAUUUGAUUCUAUUUUACGUAGAGAUAGUUGAAUGGAUUAUACGCAAUAGAUUACAUAGAUCAGUAAUUGGCUCCGUUUGAUGAAAUAGUUGAACCUGAAUCCGAACCUUAACCAACUAGCCCGAACGUACUUUGUAUAUAAUAACUCUCUGUAAUAAACUAUCUUCGGUGAACUAUAAA
rnacentral:lncRNA from 1 species